UCUGUCAGAAGAAUUCUCUAAUUCUCAUGGGGAAAGCACAGGUCCAUCCUGUACCCAUGAUGGAAGGCAGAAGGGAAUCCUACAGUUUGGAACAGAGACAGAGAAGAUAAUUAAAUUCAGGUUUUGUCUGGAUUACAUGGACACACAUCAGUUGCACAGCUGGAGCAAACAACUGGUAAGCCCAUCUUGGGAGGCAUCUGCCUGAGGUCGCUGGUGGUGAGGAGUGGGCAUGCUCUGCAGCCCAGGCGCCUCCUGAAAAUGACAGCCUUCAAGUCAGAUCCUUCCUGAGAGGAACCUAGUCCCACCACGAGAGUCACUUACAAUGUUGCCGUUGCUGUAAAGAUGAAAAUGACGGGAAAUAAAAUCUUCCAGAAGAUCUGGUCCAUAUGCUGCUGCAUGCCAUGGCUGGAUUCAACCAUUGUGUUGGCUGCCUGCUGCCCAGACUGAGUGGGGUGAACUCAGGACAGAGCUUUGCUUUGGCAUGAAUACCUUUGCUUUCUCUUGCUGACACAUUCCCUCCACCACUCAAGAAUGCACAGAGCCCUUGCCAGGUUGAGAAUGCCUGACUAUGACAGCAGAGUUUGCAAAGUAAAGAGCCUAUUUAUGAAGAUAAUGGCAGUGCCCAGACCAGGCCCACCAUGAGAGAAUCUUGGCUCAUAAUUAGCAAGAACAGUGCAUUUUAAUGAGGAUGCCUGGUAGGCAGUCAGCUCCUGCCUGGACUGCCAACGAAUUGGGGCCAGAGGGAAUGCUGGCAGCAAGGACAAGAAGCAGGUGAGGGGAACAACAUAGAAGAAAAUGCG